rnacentral:rRNA from 1 species
CCCUUAGAUGUCCUGGGCCGCACGCGCGCUACACUGAAGGAAUCAGCACGUCUUUCUCCUUGUCCGAAAGGACUGGGUAACCCGCUGAACCUCCUUCGUGCUAGGGAUUGGGGCUUGUAAUUCUUCCCCAUGAACGAGGAAUUCCCAGUAAGCGCGAGUCAUAAGCUCGCGUUGAUUACGUCCCUGCCCUUUGUACACACCGCCCGUCGCUACUACCGAUUGGAUGGUUUAGUGAGAUCCUCGGAUUGGUCCCGGCGCGGCCUCUGGUCGUGUCGGAGUGCCGAAAAGAAUGUCGAACUUGAUCAUCUAGAGGAAGUAAAAGUCGUAACA